rnacentral:rRNA from 1 species
UACGUAGGCAGCGAGCGUUGUUCGGAGUUACUGGGCGUAAAGGGUGUGUAGGCGGUUCUUUUAAGUUUGGUGUGAAAUCUCCCGGCUCAACCGGGGAGGGUGCGCCGAAUACUGAGGGACUCGAGUGCGGGAGAGGAAAGUGGGAAUUCCUGGUGUAGCGGUGAAAUGCGUAGAUAUCAGGAGGAACACCGGUGGUGUAGACGGCUUUCUGGACCGUAACUGACGCUGAGACACGAAAAGCGUGGGGUAGCAAAACAGG